rnacentral:rRNA from 1 species
GGAUAACCUACCUAUAAGACUGGGAUAACUUCGGGAAACCGGAGCUAAUACCGGAUAAUAUAUUGAACCGCAUGGUUCAAUAGUGAAAGACGGUUUUGCUGUCACUUAUAGAUGGAUCCGCGCCGCAUUAGCUAGUUGGUAAGGUAACGGCUUACCAAGGCAACGAUGCGUAGCCGACCUGAGAGGGUGAUCGGCCACACUGGAACUGAGACACGGUCCAGACUCCUACGGGAGGCAGCAGUAGGGAAUCUUCCGCAAUGGGCGAAAGCCUGACGGAGCAACGCCGCGUGAGUGAUGAAGGUCUUCGGAUCGUAAAACUCUGUUAUUAGGGAAGAACAAAUGUGUAAGUAACUAUGCACGUCUUGACGGUACCUAAUCAGAAAGCCACGGCUAACUACGUGCCAGCAGCCGCGGUAAUACGUAGGUGGCAAGCGUUAUCCGGAAUUAUUGGGCGUAAAGCGCGCGUAGGCGGUUUUUUAAGUCUGAUGUGAAAGCCCACGGCUCAACCGUGGAGGGUCAUUGGAAACUGGAAAACUUGAGUGCAGAAGAGGAAAGUGGAAUUCCAUGU